rnacentral:rRNA from 1 species
UACGGGGGGAGCAAACGUUGUUCGGAAUCACUGGGCGUAAAGGGCGCGUAGGCGCCUUCUAAGUCGAACGUGAAAUCCCUGGGCUCAACCCAGGAACUGCGUCCGAUACUGGAAGGCUUGAAUCCGGGAGAGGGAUGCGGAAUUCCAGGUGUAGCGGUGAAAUGCGUAGAUAUCUGGAGGAACACCGGUGGCGAAGGCGGCAUCCUGGACCGGCAUUGACGCUGAGGCGCGAAAGCCAGGGGAGCAAACGGG